rnacentral:rRNA from 1 species
UACGAAGGGUGCAAGCGUUAAUCGGAAUUACUGGGCGUAAAGCGUGCGUAGGCGGUCUUUUAAGUCUGCUGUGAAAUCCCCGGGCUCAACCUGGGAAUGGCAGUGGAUACUGGGAGGCUAGAGUGUGUCAGAGGAUGGUGGAAUUCCCGGUGUAGCGGUGAAAUGCGUAGAGAUCGGGAGGAACAUCAGUGGCGAAGGCGGCCAUCUGGGGCAACACUGACGCUGAGGCACGAAAGCGUGGGGAGCAAACAGG